UGUUUGGCAGUUAAGGUCUGUAAGGAAAGGGAAGAAUGACCCCAGAGUGGAUCCUCAACUGGGCCCAGAAGGACCAUUCCAUUAUCACCUGGUUGCAUGAAAAAAAAAUCAAAAUUUCCUGGACUACUUUUAAGUCAACUACAGAGCUCUGUUUUGUUGUUCCUGGUGUUACUCUGCACAUCUACCCACUUUGUACCUGAGAUAAGAACAGCAACUCAAUUCACCUGUUUGGGAAUGCACAAAUUCUGGAGACCAAUUUGCCCUCUGGUAGUGGACUCAAAGCACCAACAGAGGUGGCUGGAUGGUGAAACCAACGGAUUGGAAGGCCUACCAUUGUUUACUUGGAUAUCAGCCUGGGGUACCUGGAACAGAAAGGAAGGAAAAAAUUACACUGUUUAAGAGCACUGAGAGUCCAUGAGGUGUUAGACUCGUCAUGUGAGACCACAAUUGUUCAAUUGUUGCCUUGUGCACUUGGCAAAGGCAAAAUGUGUAGAUGUGUUUGAUUUGUCAGUAAACCGCUAUGUGGUGGUUGUUCCCUUUAAGAAAUGAGCGCCAUGGGAGAAGUCAUGUGACCUGCUAGUCCAGUUGGGGAUGGAGUCUGCAUGAGGUGUGUGUGAAUUCACCCAGCAGUUGGAUUGAGGAGCUAGGCAUGAAAUGACCAUGCAAUGUACUCUGUAAAUAAGUUGUAAUAAAUUGUUGUGUUAUGAUAAUCAA